CAAAUGAAUUGACGGGACCGCACAAGCGGCGGAUGAUGUGGUUAAUUCGAUGCAACGCGAAAACCUUACCCACCUUUGACAUGUACGGAAGCCUUUAGAGAUAGAGGCGUGCUCGAAAGAGAGCCGUAACACAGGUGCUGCAUGGCUGUCGUCAGCUCGUGUCGUGAGAUGUUGGGUUAAGUCCCCGCAACGAGCGCAACCCUUGUCAUUAGUUGCUACAUUCAGUUGGGCACUCUAAUGAGACUGCCGGUGACAAGCCGGAGGAAGGUGGGGAUGACGUCAAGUCCUCAUGGCCCUUAUAGGUGGGGCUACACACGUCAUACAAUGGCUGGUACAAAGGGUUGCCAACCCGCGAGGGGGAGCCAAUCCCAUAAAGCCAGUCGUAGUCCGGAUCGUAGUCUGCAACUCGACUACGUGAAGUCGGAAUCGCUAGUAAUCGUGGAUCAGAAUGUCACGGUGAAUACGUUCCCGGGUCUU
rnacentral:rRNA from 1 species